UAGAGCAGCUUUGCUAAUCGUUUUUUGACAGUAAAAAACAAAUAAUAUUAAUACAGAUGCUUAUUAAAUAUCCGAACAGUGAUUAUUCUUAAAAGGAUAAAAGUUGAUGUUACCAUACAUUUAUACUCGGACUAGCUGAUUCGAUUUUCAGUGCAUUUAGACAGAGUAGGGUAGGCCCCCCUGGUAUAGGCUGCCCAGCCUUGCCCUUAGCCUAGACAAGUACUUCAAAGACGCGAGUCACACCCGUCUCAGCCCAACCAUCUGAGGUGCGAAAAUUUGGGGAAAUACAGUAGUAGGCCUGCAUUGCAUCUAGAUGGCCGGAAAUGACACUCUUAGUUUACAGUAUUAGUAAGGGUGGCAUGUUGGUACAGUCAGCCAGAAUGUUAAGAAACAGUGGUAUACAGCUUCAGGAGUAGUAAAAGUGAGAGAGUGGAUAGCAACAUAAGAGUACAAUGUGCUGGCUCUUUUUUGACUCAUUUGCAUAAUGCACUAGACAAUGGCCUCAUCACAAUGAUGUAAUGAUAAUGAAUAUUCAUAGUCAGGAAAUUGCUGAAAUGACACCACAGCAAAAGCAACUUCUUGACAGCAUAUAUAUCUUCAGCAUGUAUAUCCAGGUAGCGCCUGGAUGGUAAUGCAUUGAGUGUUGCAUGUGUAACAUCCUACUGCUUGGAAAGGCUGACUGUCCAGAUUUGGACUAACGUUUUCAAGGCGGCAUGUUGGUACAGUCAGCCAGAAUGUUAAGAAACAGUGGUGUACAGCUUCAGGAGUAGUAAAAGUGAGAGAGUGGAUAGCAACAUAAGAGUACAAUGUGCUGGCUCUUUUUUUGACUCAUUUGCAUAAUGCACUAGACAAUGGCCUCAUCGCAAUGAUGUAAUAAUGAAUAUUCAUAGUCAGGAAACUGCUGAAAUGACACCACAGCAAAAGCAACUUCUUGACAGCAUAUAUAUCUUCAGCAUGUGUAUCCAGGUAGCACCUGGAUGGCAGUGCAUUGAGUGUUGCAUGUAUAACAUCCUACUGCUUGGAAAGGCUGACUGUCCAGAUUUGGACUAACGUUUUCAAUAGAAAUUCUGAAGAAACUUGGACAUUAAUUGUACCUCCUUUUGCAACGAGUCAACCUGCCCUGCUAGCCAGUAUUACUGUGUUGCUUCUUCUACUGAAUGGUGAGUGUGAUGGCAAAAGUUUGUGAAUGUUUAAUAUGUCCAUUGUAAAUUGCAUAUCCAUUGCAAAUGUCUUUGUGGGACAAGAAAGUUUGUUUUACAUAUGAGUUGUUUAAUAAGUCAUUUUUUCCCCUGUAAGCAUAACAAUCAUUUUGGUACAACUUAUACUUCCCUAUUUCAUAAUUAAAUUUUAAUAAAUAUUUAAAAUUGCAUUUAUUUGA